AACGAACGCUGGCGGCGUGCCUAACACAUGCAAGUCGUGCGAGAAAGUUCCUUCGGGAGCGAGUAAAGCGGCGCACGGGUGAGUAACACGUAGGUAACCUGCCCCCCAGUCUGGAACAACUAGAGGAAACUCUAGCUAAUGCCGGAUAAGACCACGGCCCCCUCGGGGGCUGCGGCCAAAGAUGGCCUCUACUUGUACGCUAUCGCUGAGGGAUGGGCCUGCGGGCCAUUAGCUUGUUGGUGAGGUAACGGCUCACCAAGGCUGUGAUGGCUAGCUGGUCUGAGAGGAUGACCAGCCACACUGGGACUGAGACACGGCCCAGACUCCUACGGGAGGCAGCAGUGGGGAAUAUUGCGCAAUGGGCGAAAGCCUGACGCAGCGACGCCGCGUGGGUGAUGAAGGCC
rnacentral:rRNA from 1 species